GACGAACGCUGGCGGCGUGCUUAACACAUGCAAGUCGAACGGAAAGGCCCUGCUUGCAGGGUACUCGAGUGGCGAACGGGUGAGUAACACGUGGGUGAUCUGCCCUGCACUUCGGGAUAAGCCUGGGAAACUGGGUCUAAUACCGGAUAGGAGCCAUUUUUAGUGUGAUGGUUGGAAAGUUUUUUCGGUGUAGGAUGAGCUCGCGGCCUAUCAGCUUGUUGGUGGGGUAAUGGCCUACCAGGGCGGCGACGGGUAGCCGGCCUGAGAGGGUGGACGGCCAACGCGGCGGUGGGAUACGGACCAGACUGCGAGGGGAGGCGGCAGUGGGAGAAAUUGGGCCAGGGGCGCAAGGCUGCGGAGGCGGCGCGGCGGGGGGGCUGACUGCCGUCGGGUUGUUAACUCCUUUCUCGGGGGACGAAGUUUUUUGGACCGGUAACAAGAUAAGACGCCCCUGAUACCGACGGGCAAGCCGCCGGGGUAAUAAGCGAAAACCACCCGUCUGACC
rnacentral:rRNA from 1 species